rfam:Populus trichocarpa scaffold_6_contig_89, whole genome shotgun sequence.
ACUAGAACUCGAGAUAUGGGCUGAACACUGAAUAAUGUCUGGGUUGCAGGACAUAUUCCGACUUCUCUGUUAUUGCUACAAUUUGAACUUGAAAAUGGUUCUUUUGAAUCUUGGACUCUUCAUGAAAGUUUUAGGUCUAUGUCUUAGCUUUCCAUC